AGACAGCAAUGGGGAGGAGAGAGGAGGCUUUAGAGAAUCUUAGGAAGUGCUUAGAGAUCAAAGAAAUGAUGUUGGAGAAAGAUAGUAAGGAAUUGGGUUUGGCAAAUAGGAAACUGGCAGUGGCAUAUGUUGCAGUAUUGAAUUUCAAGGAGGCAUUGCCAUUUGGUUUGAAGGCCUUGGAUAUACAUAGGAGCGGACUGGGGAAU
rnacentral:misc_RNA from 1 species